AUACGUAGGGGGCGAGCGUUGUCCGGAAUGACUGGGCGUAAAGGGCGUGUAGGCGGCGCGGUAAGUCUGGAGUGAAAGUCCUGCUUUCAAGGUGGGAAUUGCUUUGGAUACUGCCGCGCUUGAGUGCAGGAGAGGUUAUCGGAAUUCCCGGUGUAGCGGUGAAAUGCGUAGAGAUCGGGAGGAACACCAGUGGCGAAGGCGGGUAACUGGACUGCAACUGACGCUGAGGCGCGAAAGUGUGGGGAGCAAACAGGAUUAGAUACCCUGGUAGUCCACACUGUAAACGAUGAAUGCUAGGUGUAAGAGGUAUCGACCCCUUUUGUGCCGGAGUCAACACAAUAAGCAUUCCGCCUGGGGAGUACGGCCGCAAGGUUGAAACUCAAAUGAAUUGACGGGG
rnacentral:rRNA from 1 species